rnacentral:rRNA from 1 species
UACGUAGGUGACAAGCGUUGUCCGGAUUUACUGGGCGUAAAGAGCGCGCAGGCGGUCGUUCAAGUCGAGUGUGAAAGCCCCCGGCUCAACUGGGGAGGGUCAUUCGAUACUGAUCGACUCGAAGGCAGGAGAGGGAAGUGGAAUUCCCGGUGUAGUGGUGAAAUGCGUAGAUAUCGGGGAGGAACACCAGUGGCGAAGGCGGCCAACUGGUCCGGUACUGACGCUGAGGUGCGAAAGCGUGGGGAGCAAACAGG